GACAGAGGGUGCAAACGUUGUUCGGAAUUACUGGGCGUAAAGCGCGCGUAGGCGGACCUGCAAGUCGGGGGUGAAAGCCCGAGGCUCAGCCUCGGAACUGCCUUCGAUACUGCGGGUCUCGAGUCCGGGAGAGGUGAGUGGAAUUCCUAGUGUAGAGGUGAAAUUCGUAGAUAUUAGGAAGAACACCAGUGGCGAAGGCGGCUCACUGGCCCGGUACUGACGCUGAGGCGCGAAAGCGUGGGGAGCAAACAGG
rnacentral:rRNA from 1 species